AGAUGGCGACCGGCGCACGGGUGAGUAACACGUAUCCAACCUGCCUCAUACUCGGGGAUAGCCUUUCGAAAGAAAGAUUAAUAUCCGAUGGCAUAUAUUUCCCGCAUGGGUUUUAUAUUAAAGAAAUUCGGUAUGAGAUGGGGAUGCGUUCCAUUAGUUUGUUGGGGGGGUAACGGCCCACCAAGACUACGAUGGAUAGGGGUUCUGAGAGGAAGGUCCCCCACAUUGGAACUGAGACACGGUCCAA
rnacentral:rRNA from 1 species